rnacentral:rRNA from 1 species
AUACGGAGGGCACGAGCGUUGUUCGGAAUUAUUGGGCGUAAAGGGCAUGUAGGCGGUAUUACAAGUCAGAUGUGAAAGACCAGGGCUCAACCCUGGAGCAGCAUAUGAGACUGUAGAACUAGAGUGUAAUAGAGGGUAGUGGAAUUUCCGGUGUAGCGGUGAAAUGCAUAGAUAUCGGAAGGAACACCAGUGGCGAAGGCGGCUACCUGGAUUAACACUGACGCUGAGGUGCGAAAGCGUGGGGAGCGAACCGGAUUAGAUACCCCGGUAGUCC